CUGAGAUCAAGAAAGGCCCCUGCCGACUUGGUUAACUCACUACUGAGAACAACAAGCUUUUCGUCGGAAGCCACAACAUAUGGCAUAAAGAUGGAAUCACUUGCCCGGAAGGAGUUUGAAGAUAAAGUUUCUGUACAGGUUAUACAGACUGGAUUGGUGCUGCAUACUCUCCAGCCGUGGCUUGCUGGCAGCCCAGAUGGAAUCUUCCUAUCCGACCAUAAGCCCAGCAUUCUUGAGAUAAAGUGCCCAUUUUCCAGAAAGGACGACAUUAUAAUAGAUCACAAAUUGGAACGCUCAUUUGUGCCAUACAUAAAGUAUGUAGAUGGCAGACUUGCCCUCGUGAGGAGUCAUAAGUACUACACGCAAGUGCAGCUGCUAAUGUAUGUGUG
rnacentral:lncRNA from 1 species